rnacentral:rRNA from 1 species
GACGUAGGGCGCGAGCGUUGUCCGGAAUUAUUGGGCGUAAAGAGCUUGUAGGCGGUUUGUCGCGUCUGCCGUGAAAAUUCGAGGCUCAACCUCGAACUUGCGGUGGGUACGGGCAGACUAGAGUGUGGUAGGGGAGACUGGGAUUCCUGGUGUAGCGGUGAAAUGCGCAGAUAUCAGGAGGAACACCGAUGGCGAAGGCAGGUUUCUGGGCCACUACUGACGCUGAGAAGCGAAAGCAUGGGGAGCGAACAGG